GUGAGUGUUCCGUUUUUUAAUAACUGAAUAAAAUGACGGGGUGUAGUGAUGAUUAUCCAAUAGACAAGCAUAUGGCUGAUUUUUAGUGAUGCCAAUUUUAAUCUGAUUAACCUCAAGAGACUGUUUCAUCUUAAACUACAGUUUCUAGAAGUGUGGCUAACAAGUUCUCUCUGCAGGUGGGAAUGUGAAAUAGCUUCACAAACCUGGACUUCGGCCAGUUUGUCCAAUGGAGGACAUUGUUGAGACAUGGGAGUUGAUGGAGGACAUGGGAGUUGAUGGAGGACAUGGGAGUUGAUGGGGUGGUGAGAUUGUCAUUCAAAACCGCCCAUAAUUAAAGGUGUCAUGGUGCUGGUGUUCAGAGACUACUUCUACUCCAACCAAGGUGGGUGUGAAGAGACGGUGUUGCUUAAUGGCUGUAAUGCGAAUGCAAUUAGUCUCCUUAAUGAUGACACCCGCACAUGUCUUACGCCUUGGGUCAACGCCAGAACCUGAGAAGGUGAACCCACUGGUGCCAAGGCAGCAAGGGGAUAACCUGUUGCGGUUGCAACCGUCUGAAUGGUGUCUCUAUGAACCUGGGUGUCAUGCAGACGUAUGGGGCUUUAUUAAGGUGUUGCUACCUUUUUCGUUCUAGGGUUCCUAGACUGGUCCAGUGUUCAUCUGCUACCCUGGUGUCCUUAAAACAGAUCUGGAUCAUCAUGGUAUGUUGACGUUCAUAUCACAAAACACUCCCUGGCUCUAUAGAAUGAUGUUGUAUUUUACCGCCCCAGUCUGAAGAUUCAUGACUGAUUGGUACACACUCUGAUCCUCCAUAACGACAG
ensembl:lncRNA